ensembl:lncRNA novel transcript
AGAGCCACCUAAGCUGAAGAUUCCCUUGAGAACAAGUACUGUCCUGCGGUUUCAUGGCCUUUCUUCCAUUUGUGGUUCUUGCGAAGUGGAAUUUAAAUGACAUCUUAUCAAGAUGGAUAAACCCUAGUUUCCCAGUGCUGGAAUAUAGAAAAUGGAUGGACAAGUAAAUCCCACUCAGCACCCAUAGUCCAGGCAUGGGGACCUCAACACACCUGAGCCCCAGACAUCACCUUUCAUUCUGGACCUACCAUGAAAGACUUCUGAAUCCAGGAAGAGAAACUGGCUGGGCAACAUGUUAUUCAGGUACAAAAAGACUUGGACUGUAACUCAAAAAUGAUCAAAUAAUAGUGCAUGCAUCAAGUGCAAUGGGAAGCUCUUCUGGAGAGGGAGAGAAGCUUCCAGUUAAGGUGACAUUGAAGCCAAGUCCUGUAAGA